AUUGAACGCUGGCGGCAGGCCUAACACAUGCAAGUCGGACGGUAGCACAGAGGAGCUUGCUCCUCGGGUGACGAGUGGCGGACGGGUGAGUAAUGUCUGGGGAUCUGCCCGAUAGAGGGGGAUAACCACUGGAAACGGUGGCUAAUACCGCAUAACGUCGCAAGACCAAAGAGGGGGACCUUCGGGCCUCUCACUAUCGGAUGAACCCAGAUGGGAUUAGCUAGUAGGCGGGGUAAUGGCCCACCUAGGCGACGAUCCCUAGCUGGUCUGAGAGGAUGACCAGCCACACUGGAACUGAGACACGGUCCAGACUCCUACGGGAGGCAGCAGUGGGGAAUAUUGCACAAUGGGCGUAAGCCUGAUGCAGCCAUGCCGCGUGUAUGAAGAAGGCCUUCGGGUUGUAAAGUACUUUCAGCGGGGAGGAAGGCGGUGCGGUUAAUAACCGCGCCGAUUGACGUUACCCGCAGAAGAAGCACCGGCUAACUCCGUGCCAGCCGCCGCAGUAAUAC
rnacentral:rRNA from 1 species